CGCUGCUGUCCUCAGUUCGCCUGAAUUAGCUCGGCUAAAUUAACUCCUCGCUCUCCACGCUACAACCGAAUGCACCAAGUGUCUCGCUGCAGAUGUGCCGCCGUGGUUUUGUUUUGCCAGAGGAUUCGCUUACGCUGUGCUGACGUCACACUGAGCCGCGUACUCCAAGUUGCAAUACGAAAUUCCACCACCAGAGGAGCACACUGCUCAGAAAUCAUAUGGCAUGUUAGUCUACUGGUCAGGCUCUCAUUACCAGCACACUACAAUGACGGAAAGAACGUCUGACAGUUAAGUAAGUGUUUUACCGACUUCAGCUAAAAUUCUGCGAAAGUUCUGACUCGCUGCGGCUGCUCGAUUUUUUGCGGUAGUGCCCCUGCCCUGCCUGACCAAGUACAGCCGCGACAACCGCACCAUGUUUACAUCAAAGCGUCCUUAAAUACAUUUUCCCCAGACACAGUGACAUCAAGUAUUUGUGAUGUAUCGUGUUUGGUAGGUUAAAAUGUACAAACAAUAUUGUUCACUUUAGUGGCCGCAAAUUAAAUACGAAAAUGUAUUUGGUUUCCCAAAAACAUGAAUUAAACAAUCUGAAUUAUGUCGAUAACAAUGGUCAUUAAACUGUGCAUUUAUUUGCUUAUAAACGAUUGUGCUUCUCCGCGUUGUUUCCGGUUUAUCUUCUUACCAAUGUGGAAACCAGCUGAGGUGUCAAUUUUGUGCGUCUCUGAAGAAGAGCUACUUCCGGCGUUAAAGACACGGUCUAUAGUGCGAUCUUAUUUCGGCUGGCCGCUGAGAACCACGUGUUUCCCUGAUAAGACUGGACGCUAAAACCCGUUUCACACUAGUAGAACUGUAGAAGAUGGGGAGCUGUGUUCUCUACAGGGUUGUCCCUUUGUAGCGUCCCGCCGCCUGUGGUGUAGGCUUGCAGCACUGGGGUCUUUAACCGCAACAGGCUAACGGCGCUUUGCCAGUAUUAACAGGUGUUUCUUAGCUCACGCACGUACGUUUGGAAAUGUUCGUUGUACACAAGGGGGCAUUUACCCUGCAGGGGCGUUUGACUGCAGUGAGCUCCACCUUGACCAGUGGUACAUGCAGCAGCACAAGACAGAAUCAAACCUGCAAGCCUUCACUCUCACAAUUUGGGCACAUUUUUAUUGGGUACAUUCAUAAUGUCAGCUAAAUGUUUGCAAAUCAUAGAGCUUUCCCUUAUGAUCUCAUACACACACAUACACACAUGCAGUAUUUUGUGGCCAUUUUUUACUAUUUUGUGUGGGAAAAUGUUUGUGUGUGUGUGUGUGUGUGUGUGUGUGUGUGCAUGCAUAAGUGAGUUUGUGGUGUGAUGUGGUAGGGUGGGGUCUAAGAAAGCAGUUUAGAUUCAGGAAGUCCAAGCUGCAGUUUCGGCCAGUGAAACCCUUAUUUCAGACAACAUGAGAGCAGCCGUUAUUCUGUUAUAUACCUGUUUGAUUGCAGGCACAACAUUUCCAUAACAACAGAACCAUCUCCUAACAACACAAACUGCAUUGCAUCUUUUCUGUGGCUGAUCUGUUAAACAGACCAACAGCAAAGGUAAACUAAAAUUACCUCCCAUCUCCCAUUUCUGUUUCCCUCCUUCCAUCUCUCAUCCCUCUUUCCUGUGUAUCUCUUUCCUUCCCAUUUCCUC